rnacentral:tRNA from 1 species
GUUGUGGCUCAGUGGUAGAGUGCUUGUCUGGCAUGUGUGAGGCCCUGGGUUUGAUCCUCAGCACACA